UAUUGUAGCAUCGGGUUACGGUAGCCGAGUCAGUUGAUUCUCAUCAUGUGGCACUUCGACGGUGAACAGUUAUGGCCUCUGAUA
rnacentral:misc_RNA from 1 species